rnacentral:rRNA from 1 species
GUCGAGCGGAAACGAUGGUAGCUUGCUACCAGGCGUCGAGCGGCGGACGGGUGAGUAACGCGUGAGAAUCUGCCCAUUUGUGGGGGAUAACUCGGGGAAACUCGAGCUAAUACCGCAUAAUCCCUACGGGGGAAAGCAGGGGACCUUCGGGCCUUGUGCAGAUGGAUGAGCUCGCGUCGGAUUAGCUUGUUGGUGAGGUAAAGGCUCACCAAGGCGACGAUCCGUAGCUGGUCUGAGAGGAUGAUCAGCCACACCGGGACUGAGACACGGCCCGGACUCCUACGGGAGGCAGCAGUGGGGAAUCUUGGACAAUGGGGGCAACCCUGAUCCAGCCAUGCCGCGUGUGUGAAGAAGGCCUUCGGGUUGUAAAGCACUUUCAGUAGGGAGGAAGGCUUACCGCUAAUAACGGUGAGUACUUGACGUUACCUACAGAAGAAGCACCGGCUAAUUUCGUGCCAGCAGCCGCGGUAAUACGAAAGGUGCGAGCGUUAAUCGGAAUUACUGGGCGUAAAGCGCGCGUAGGCGGUUUGUUAAGUCAGAUGUGAAAGCCCCGGGCUCAACCUGGGAAUUGCAUUUGAAACUGGCAGGCUAGAGUGCAGUAGAGGGAGGUGGAAUUUCCGGUGUAGCGGUGAAAUGCGUAGAGAUCGGAAGGAACACCAGUGGCGAAGGCGGCCUCCUGGACUGACACUGACGCUGAGGUGCGAAAGCGUGGGGAGCAAACAGGAUGAGAUACCCUGGUAGUCCGCGCCGUAAACGAUGUCUACUAGUC